GAUGAAGAACGCAGCGAAACGCGAAAGGUAAUGCGAAUUGCAGAAUCAGUGAAUCAUCGAAUCUUUGAACGCACAUUGCGCCCCUCGGUAUUCCGUGGGGCACGCCUGUUCGAGCGUCAUUUACACCCUCAAGCGCAGCUUGGUGUUGGGCGUCUGUCCCGCUCUCCGUAGCGCGGACUCGCCUCAAAGUCAUUGGCGGCGGUCGUGCCGGCUCCUCGCGCAGCACAUUUGCGCUUCUCGGAGGCCCGGCGGAUCGGCAUCCAGCAAGCUACUUUUUAUGACUUGACCUCGGAUCAGGUGAGGAUACCCGCUGAACUUAAGCAUAUCAAUAAGCGGAGGA
rnacentral:misc_RNA from 1 species